rnacentral:rRNA from 1 species
UAGGGAAUCUUCGGCAAUGGACGGAAGUCUGACCGAGCAACGCCGCGUGAGUGAAGAAGGUUUUCGGAUCGUAAAGCUCUGUUGUAAGAGAAGAACGAGUGUGAGAGUGGAAAGUUCACACUGUGACGGUAUCUUACCAGAAAGGGACGGCUAACUACGUGCCAGCAGCCGCGGUAAUACGUAGGUCCCGAGCGUUGUCCGGAUUUAUUGGGCGUAAAGCGGGCGCAGGCGGUUAGAUAAGUCUGAAGUUAAAGGCUGUGGCUUAACCAUAGUAGGCUUUGGAAACUGUUUAACUUGAGUGCAAGAGGGGAGAGUGGAAUUCCAUGUGUAGCGGUGAAAUGCGUAGAUAUAUGGAGGAACACCGGUGGCGAAAGCGGCUCUCUGGCUUGUAACUGACGCUGAGGCUCGAAAGCGUGGGGAGCAAACAGGAUUAGAUACCCUGGUAGUCCACGCCGUAACGAUGAGUGCUAGGUGUUAGACCCUUUCCGGGGUUUAGUGCCGUAGCUAACGCAUUAAGCACUCCGCCUGGGGAGUACGACCGCAAGGUU